rnacentral:rRNA from 1 species
GGUGGUUUGUCGCGUUGUUCGUGAAAACCGGGGGCUUAACUCUCGGCGUGCGGGCGAUACGGGCAGACUGGAGUACUGCAGGGGAGACUGGAAUUCCUGGUGUAGCGGUGGAAUGCGCAGAUAUCAGGAGGAACACCGGUGGCGAAGGCGGGUCUCUGGGCAGUAACUGACGCUGAGGAGCGAAAGGUGGGGAGCGAACAGGAUUAGAUACCCUGGUAGUCCACGCCGUAAACGGUGGGUACUAGGUGUGGGUUUCCUUCCUUGGGAUCCGUGCCGUAGCUAACGCAUUAAGUACCCCGCCUGGGGAGUACGGCCGCAAGGCUAAAACUCAAAGGAAUUGACGGGGGCCCGCACAAGCGGCGGAGCAUGUGGAUUAAUUCGAUGCAACGCGAAGAACCUUACCUGGGUUUGACAUGCACAGGACGCCGGCAGAGAUGUCGGUUCCCUUGUGGCCUGUGUGCAGGUGGUG